AAAUGCGAUAAGUAAUGUGAAUUGCAGAAUUCAGUGAAUCAUCGAAUCUUUGAACGCACAUUGCGCCCCUUGGUAUUCCGGGGGGCAUGCCUGUUCGAGCGUCAUUUCAACCCUCAAGCUCUGCUUGGUAUUGGGCACCGUCCUUUGCGGGCGCGCCUCAAAGACCUCGGCGGUGGCGUCUUGCCUCAAGCGUAGUAGAAUACACCUCGCUUCGGAGCGUAAGGCGUCGCCCGCCGGACGAACCUUCUGAACUUUUCUCAAGGUUGACCUCGGAUCAGGUAGGGAUACCCGCUGAACUUAAGC
rnacentral:misc_RNA from 1 species